UACGUAGGUGGCGAGCGUUGUCCGGAUUUACUGGGCGUAAAGAGCGCGCAGGCGGUCGUACAAGUCGCGUGUGAAAGCCCCCGGCUCAACUGGGGAGGGUCACGCGAUACUGUUCGACUCGAAGGCAGGAGAGGGUAGUGGAAUUUCCGGUGUAGUGGUGAAAUGCGUAGAUAUCGGGAGGAACACCAGUGGCGAAGGCGACUACCUGGCCUGUUCUUGACGCUGAGGCGCGAAAGCUAGGGUAGCAAACGGG
rnacentral:rRNA from 1 species